ensembl:lncRNA
AAUUAUUUCUUUUGAAUUACGAAGAAGUAACCAAGGAUUAAUCAUAGACUGGCUUGAGGUUGUUCUUUUCCUUAUCAGUUGAUAUGCUGACUAAAGCCUAUGGUCUGUCUGAGGAUUGUUGUCUGGAGUCAGACCAUGCACAGUCUGCAGCUAGUGAUGAGCUAAUGAAGAUGCCUUUCAACAGCUCUCCAACAUCAGAGUACCAGGAUGCUCUCCCCUGUGGGAUUACCUUGCCAGUGGUCACUUUUUCCCAGCCAGCCUGAGCAGUAACAUCUUUGCAACAAGACAGAGAAGAUUUGGUCCUGGAUUGGAAGUGGCAUUUCUAGGACUGGAGGCUACAAAUUCACUUGAAUUUCAAACACCACCAUUCCCAACUCAACCUCAGAAUAGAAAGCUGAUUCCCUUUGCACCAGAGGAAAUGCAUUUUUUACUUCACAAAAGGAAGAUGAAGAAUUGCCUUUCCAGUUGCAAUUUUUUUGGACAUUUCUUAACUAUUCUCCUCAAACAACUGAUGCCAGAAUUUUUUUAGGAGGAGAACAGCAGCUUUUUACAAUCUUAUGAACAGCUGUGCAAAAAAAAAAAAAAAAAAAAAAAAAAGUAAUUAACUGUUCCCUGAGCUGUUGACAGCUGGCAGCACCAUUUCAUGAUGAAAUAUCAAAACUAUAGUCAUUCUGUCUUGCAAAGAGCAGAUAACCUGCAACAGUUAGAAGCUUUAAAAAGAAAAGAUGCUUUUUUUUUUCUGUUUGAGGAGAGUGAACAUACAGACUGAUUUUAACCCAGCAGACUUUGUCCUGUCCUCUCCUGAAAUCAUGGAAUCAUAGAAUUACUACUGUUGGAAAAAACCACUAAGACCUUCUAGUCCAACCAUCAGCCCAUCCCCACCAUGCCCAGUAAACCAUGUCCCCCCAGUGCCAUGUCUCUAUGGUUCUUGAACACCUCCAGGGACAGUGACUCGAACCACCUCCCUGCACAGCCUGUUCCAAUGUCUUACCACUCUUCCUGAGAAGAAAUUUUUCCUAGUACACAACCUGAAUAAAAUAAAAAGGACGAUUAGCAACAACACUUCUCCUUCUAAAGUGUUCACUGCCUGCAUCCUGUUGUGGGACACCAUGGGAUGGUCGUGGAGUUCACAGCCAGCACAGAGCUGAAGGACACUGCUUUUAUUAUCAGUUAGGGAGAACACCUGUCCCAGUCCUUUGCCUUGUCAGGGUAAUUAUUCCAAUCAUACAGGAAAAACAAACUCACCCGUUGAAAACAACUGGAUAAGAAACUAAGAAGCGAAACAGAAUCCUUUGUCACAUAGGACAUCUGAUAUCCUGCUCCCUGAGAAGAGUCUCUCACAGAAAACUAAAAUGAAGAGGGUAAAAAGAGCAGCUUGGAUUCUGCUCUUCCUUAGGCAGAAUCAGCUGGGAGAUGUUCCGGUGCAGUCUUUCUCAGGAACAUUUUAAAUGAAAAGAUUUUAUGCUAGAUACCAGAAAUGAUAAUUUUAUUUUUUCAGACUGGCUUCUGGAACUGUGAAAACAUGUGUUUUCCCAUGUGCAAGCAGAAGAGAUACCUCAGGAUAUUUGAAUCAGGUGACUGAACAUACGCUUGCCCCAUUUGUGCACAUAGAUUCCUGCGUGAUAAACAUCUCCAGGUGGCUCAUCUGAGGUUACGUAUGGAAAACACAGUCCUUCAUUCAUUAUAUAGGUGUGGAUAAUCUCUAUGCUUAGCCAACAAGUAGUAGUGUAUGGAGCCAAGGCUGUGCACAACCCAUCUCUACCACCACAGUUCCAGAUGGAAUGUCCCAUGCCCUCAGGUACAGGAAGCUGCAAACCCUGACAGGGGCCAGAGGGAUAGAGGAGUCAUUCAACAGAAUUCCAGGAAUUGGGUAAACCUAGGAAAUGACACAAGCAAGACCUUUUCAUAAUGUCUCCAAAAUGAGACUGAGAGGGAGAGCAUCAGCCAUUCUCAAAGCUCACAGACCUUUCUGUAGGGUGCUUUCUGGUUACUUGCCCUUCCCCUCCUCCUUUGUCAGAUAAAUGCAAUCCCAAGACCCUACAGAAGACUGCUGAUUGCAGAAGUUUAAAAGUCUUCCUUACAACAGAGUGAUGCCAACUGCUCGUGCAGUUUCCUGGUUGAAUUUUAUUUCACAGAAGCAGGUAUUUCUUUUUUUGGAAAUGCCAUUAAGAAAUGUUACCUUCAUACCAGGCAAGCAAAGGUUGAAACCAGGUUAGACUGCACUUAAUUUCAUAUUUAUGUUCCUAAUUGUGUUUUUGCAGUGUUUCACGUUACAGUUUUUCCUUGUCUCUUAAGCCUCUUUCACUUGAUAAAUAUACUUGUAUUAUGAAACUGCCCACUUUCUACAUUCUUUUCACUUUCUUCUCUCACAUCAAAGCCAAUAUAAAUAAAGAGUAAAUUGUUGAGCUAACAAAACUGUUAAGAGAAUACACUUUUUCCCCUGGAGCUGUAAAGAUUUCCAAUACCUUAG